rnacentral:rRNA from 1 species
UUAAGCGACUAAGCGUACACGGUGGAUGCCCUGGCAGUCAGAGGCGAUGAAGGACGUGCUAAUCUGCGAUAAGCGUCGGUAAGGUGAUAUGAACCGUUAUAACCGGCGAUUUCCGAAUGGGGAAACCCAGUGUGAUUCGUCACACUAUCAUUAACUGAAUCCAUAGGUUAAUGAGGCGAACCGGGGGAACUGAAACAUCUAAGUACCCCGAGGAAAAGAAAUCAACCGAGAUUCCCCCAGUAGCGGCGAGCGAACGGGGAGCAGCCCAGAGCCUGAAUCAGUGUGUGUGUUAGUGGAAGCGUCUGGAAAGGCGCGCGAUACAGGGUGACAGCCCCGUACACAAAAAUGCACAUACUGUGAGCUCGAUGAGUAGGGCGGGACACGUGGUAUCCUGUCUGAAUAUGGGGGGACCAUCCUCCAAGGCUAAAUACUCCUGACUGACCGAUAGUGAACCAGUACCGUGAGGGAAAGGCGAAAAGAACCCCGGCGAGGGGAGUGAAAAAGAACCUGAAACCGUGUACGUACAAGCAGUGGGAGCCUCUUUUAUGGGGUGACUGCGUACCUUUUGUAUAAUGGGUCAGCGACUUAUAUUCUGUAGCAAGGUUAACCGAAUAGGGGAGCCGAAGGGAAACCGAGUCUUAACUGGGCGUUAAGUUGCAGGGUAUAGACCCGAAACCCGGUGAUCUAGCCAUGGGCAGGUUGAAGGUUGGGUAACACUAACUGGAGGACCGAACCGACUAAUGUUGAAAAAUUAGCGGAUGACUUGUGGCUGGGGGUGAAAGGCCAAUCAAACCGGGAGAUAGCUGGUUCUCCCCGAAAGCUAUUUAGGUAGCGCCUCGUGAAUUCAUCUCCGGGGGUAGAGCACUGUUUCGGCAAGGGGGUCAUCCCGACUUACCAACCCGAUGCAAACUGCGAAUACCGGAGAAUGUUAUCACGGGAGACACACGGCGGGUGCUAACGUCCGUCGUGAAGAGGGAAACAACCCAGACCGCCAGCUAAGGUCCCAAAGUCAUGGUUAAGUGGGAAACGAUGUGGGAAGGCCCAGACAGCCAGGAUGUUGGCUUAGAAGCAGCCAUCAUUUAAAGAAAGCGUAAUAGCUCACUGGUCGAGUCGGCCUGCGCGGAAGAUGUAACGGGGCUAAACCAUGCACCGAAGCUGCGGCAGCGACGCUUAUGCGUUGUUGGGUAGGGGAGCGUUCUGUAAGCCUGUGAAGGUGUGCUGUGAGGCAUGCUGGAGGUAUCAGAAGUGCGAAUGCUGACAUAAGUAACGAUAAAGCGGGUGAAAAGCCCGCUCGCCGGAAGACCAAGGGUUCCUGUCCAACGUUAAUCGGGGCAGGGUGAGUCGACCCCUAAGGCGAGGCCGAAAGGCGUAGUCGAUGGGAAACAGGUUAAUAUUCCUGUACUUGGUGUUACUGCGAAGGGGGGACGGAGAAGGCUAUGUUGGCCGGGCGACGGUUGUCCCGGUUUAAGCGUGUAGGCUGGUUUUCCAGGCAAAUCCGGAAAAUCAAGGCUGAGGCGUGAUGACGAGGCACUACGGUGCUGAAGCAACAAAUGCCCUGCUUCCAGGAAAAGCCUCUAAGCAUCAGGUAACAUCAAAUCGUACCCCAAACCGACACAGGUGGUCAGGUAGAGAAUACCAAGGCGCUUGAGAGAACUCGGGUGAAGGAACUAGGCAAAAUGGUGCCGUAACUUCGGGAGAAGGCACGCUGAUAUGUAGGUGAAGUCCCUCGCGGAUGGAGCUGAAAUCAGUCGAAGAUACCAGCUGGCUGCAACUGUUUAUUAAAAACACAGCACUGUGCAAACACGAAAGUGGACGUAUACGGUGUGACGCCUGCCCGGUGCCGGAAGGUUAAUUGAUGGGGUCAGCGCAAGCGAAGCUCUUGAUCGAAGCCCCGGUAAACGGCGGCCGUAACUAUAACGGUCCUAAGGUAGCGAAAUUCCUUGUCGGGUAAGUUCCGACCUGCACGAAUGGCGUAAUGAUGGCCAGGCUGUCUCCACCCGAGACUCAGUGAAAUUGAACUCGCUGUGAAGAUGCAGUGUACCCGCGGCAAGACGGAAAGACCCCGUGAACCUUUACUAUAGCUUGACACUGAACAUUGAGCCUUGAUGUGUAGGAUAGGUGGGAGGCUUUGAAGUGUGGACGCCAGUCUGCAUGGAGCCGACCUUGAAAUACCACCCUUUAAUGUUUGAUGUUCUAACGUUGACCCGUAAUCCGGGUUGCGGACAGUGUCUGGUGGGUAGUUUGACUGGGGCGGUCUCCUCCUAAAGAGUAACGGAGGAGCACGAAGGUUGGCUAAUCCUGGUCGGACAUCAGGAGGUUAGUGCAAUGGCAUAAGCCAGCUUGACUGCGAGCGUGACGGCGCGAGCAGGUGCGAAAGCAGGUCAUAGUGAUCCGGUGGUUCUGAAUGGAAGGGCCAUCGCUCAACGGAUAAAAGGUACUCCGGGGAUAACAGGCUGAUACCGCCCAAGAGUUCAUAUCGACGGCGGUGUUUGGCACCUCGAUGUCGGCUCAUCACAUCCUGGGGCUGAAGUAGGUCCCAAGGGUAUGGCUGUUCGCCAUUUAAAGUGGUACGCGAGCUGGGUUUAGAACGUCGUGAGACAGUUCGGUCCCUAUCUGCCGUGGGCGCUGGAGAACUGAGGGGGGCUGCUCCUAGUACGAGAGGACCGGAGUGGACGCAUCACUGGUGUUCGGGUUGUCAUGCCAAUGGCACUGCCCGGUAGCUAAAUGCGGAAGAGAUAAGUGCUGAAAGCAUCUAAGCACGAAACUUGCCCCGAGAUGAGUUCUCCCUGACCCUUUAAGGGUCCUGAAGGAACGUUGAAGACGACGACGUUGAUAGGCCGGGUGUGUAAGCGCAGCGAUGCGUUGAGCUAACCGGUACUAAUGAACCGUGAGGCUUAACCUU